GCAGUGGCACGAUCCUGGUUCACUGCACCCUCUGCCUCCCAGGUUCAAGCGAUUCUCCUGCCUCAGCCUCCCAAGUAGCUGGUACUACAGGUGCGUGCCACCACACCUGGCUUAUUUUAGUUAUUUUAGUAGAGAUAGGGUUUCACCAUGUUGGCCAGGCUGGUCUCGGAACUCCUGACUGCAGGUGAUCCGUCCUCCUUGGGCUCCCAAAGUGCUGGGAUUAUAGGUGUGAGCCCCCACGCCUGGCCAACUUGAUUAUAUUAAUUUUGGGUUUUUUGUUUUGUUUUGUUUUGUUUUUUAAUUUUUCAAAGAAUUUGUGGAUCUUGGUAUAAAGUCAUUGGAACAUAUCUGUUUUAACAGCAAGAGAUCCUAGGCAGAUACUUCAAAAGGUUAAAAAUUCUUAAUCCUACAGAAUUUUAAAUGAAUCUUAUCAAUGUUUUGUAAACAAACAAUAUGAAUGGCCAAAAAAUUGCCCUCCAUUUUACUGGCAGGUAAUUUAUAUUGUCUUACUUAAGAAUUCUCCCCUAGUUUUUCAAUUGUACUUUAUCGUGUUGUUUUCAAUGAGAUAAGUAUUUUCAUAGGGAAAGCAUUUUCCAGCAUAAUAUUUGCUUGGGUAGCAUCCGGGUUUUAGUAUUUAACCAAGAGCCUUUUAAAUAUUGAAAACCCAUAGUUCAGAAAAUGUUAGUAUUGCUGCCCUUCUUCACAUAAAUUUUUUUUUAAAUUAUACUAUUAUUUUGCUUAAUUUUAUAUUGGGUUAAAACAACCUUCAAGAAGGUUAACUAGGAAAGAAGACCUUUUUGUUUUAUUUUUACUAUUUAUAUAUAGAAGACAAAUCAGCAUUUGGUGAUAGUUUUACAUGACCAGUUAUCAAACGGUCAUAGUAUGAAGUGUGCAGUUGUUCAUUAUUAGUAAAUUAUGUUUGAUUUUUAAACUAUUUAGUACUAAUAGUUGAGAUGAAAACUGAAGAAAAAUGCCAAUGUGACGUUUGUGUAUAGCUAGCCUUAAAAAACUUCCCAUGUUUUUAGGUGACUUUUUUCCCCCUCUUAGUACUCUGGAGAAACAAUGAAGAUGGGCCAUCUCAAUUCCAGAUGUAAACAAAAAGUAAUUUUUAUUUCAACAUUUAAUGUAACUGCUAUUAUUGUGGAUUCUUGUCUUGUGUAUUUUCUUUCCCUUAUUCAAGUAAUAUAGAAUAACUUUCCUUAAAAUGAUUUGAUCCAAGAUACGUCAUUUCUGUAUUGGCAAAAUGCCACUAUUAAAGUGUAAUUCUUGAAUUUAGGUUGAAUUGAUGACUUUUUAAAACAAAACAAACACUGGACAGUUCUACAUUGUAUUGCGUUUGCGAAUGUGCGUGAACACACGCACACGUGCAGGAGAAUGUAGUGCCAUAAGAACACUGGCGCUUUUUAAAACUUUCCAAGCUAGCUACUUAUUUUCAUUUUCAGGGUUGAGUACUCUAAGCUCUCUACUUACUGUGAGAAGUUUUCUACAUUGUAAAAUUAAAAGAUUAUAUUUAAAAUACUUCUUUAGGAUGUUAUUCAGCCAUCAAAAAAAAACCCAACUAAAAUGUCUUACCAGUAAAGUAUUAUUAAAAGCCUCAUUUGUGGAGAUUCGCUGACUUCCUUGGUUAAGCUGUCUUGUAUUUACUUAAUUUGUCCCCUCAACCAGGUGUUUUCUUUUCAGCCUGUUACUGUCCUGUGCCAUUUUUAAAAAUAGCCAUCAUGAGUAAGGGCUUCUUUAAAAUAAUCCCUGACAAUAUCUUUGGCAUUAAUACGACAUAAAGACAAGACAGUAUAUGUAUGUUUUCAUUCCUGUUUUGUACGAGUGCCUCAUUUUGUAGUCAUGAAAGUAACAUAGUACCUUAAAUAAAAAUGUAAUGACUAAUCUAAGGUCUAGGAAUAACUAUUGUAGAAGCUAAGUAGAACACUUAGUUUGGGGUGUCAAUUUUCUAUCAACGCAAACACCUUAGGGUACCCAGACCAAUUUUAUGUAUAUAUAUUCUGAAAUGCUCCCUUUUUAAUGUGGUCAUUUGUUGCCUUCUAAGUUGAGAGGACAAAACUGAAUAAAGUGAAUGUUAAUUGUA
rnacentral:lncRNA from 1 species